rnacentral:rRNA from 1 species
GACGAACGCUGGCGGCGUGCCUAAUACAUGCAAGUAGAACGCUGAAGAGAGGAGCUUGCUCUUCUUGGCUGAGUUGCGAACGGGUGAGUAACGCGUAGGUAACCUGCCUUGUAGCGGGGGAUAACUAUUGGAAACGAUAGCUAAUACCGCAUAACAAUGGAUGACACAUGUCAUUUAUUUGAAAGGGGCAAUUGCUCCACUACAAGAUGGACCUGCGUUGUAUUAGCUAGUAGGUGAGGUAAUGGCUCACCUAGGCGACGAUACAUAGCCGACCUGAGAGGGUGAUCGGCCACACUGGGACUGAGACACGGCCCAGACUCCUACGGGAGGCAGCAGUAGGGAAUCUUCGGCAAUGGGGGCAACCCUGACCGAGCAACGCCGCGUGAGUGGAGAAGGGUUUCGGAUCGUAAAGCUCUGUUGUAAGUCAAGAACGGGUGUGAGAGUGGAAAGUUCACACUGUGACGGUAGCUUACCAGAAAGGGACGGCUAACUACGUG